GCUCUGGAGCCUCGCGACAGCUCCUGCAGGUAUUUUUAUCUGAAAAGGAGCGGUGAGCUGACGCCACCAGCGGGUGCCCGUCUAGUUCCGGGCUCCUUAGAAAAGUCACACGCGACGAGGUGGCAGCGCGCACGUCUCCGGUUUCACUGUGACGCGGUGUGGUGACCGCCGCGUGUGAUGAGCUACAGUGAAGGCCUCCCUGCUUCCCGCGGAGCUUUCCGGGACGCCCUUCUCCCGACCUCGGCUGCCCCAGCCCAGCGGCUCCACAGCCCGUUCUUGUGCGGUAGCACAGGCGCUUUGGUCUGUCCCCGGAAGUGCCGCGUUGAAGAGGGUCCGCUCAUCCUCGUGGGAACUGGACACGUUGAAAGCCUGGCACCAUGUAAAAGUACUUUCAAUACUUACUCAGUGAAUGGAUGAUAUAUGGAUUGAGAGUUGGAUAGAUGGAUUGUUAAAUGAAAAGAACUGCUUCUCUAAGUACAGCUGGAGGAGAGCUUCAAGAUGGCCGAGGAGUAGGAUGUGGAGAUCACCCUCCACCCCACAAAUACAGCAGAAAUACAUCUACAUGUGGAACAACUCCUACAGAACACCUACUGAACGCUGGCAGAAGACCUCAGACUUCCCAAAAGGCUAGAAACUCCCCACGUACCUGGGUAGGGCACAAGAAAAAAGAAAAAACAGACAAAAGAAUAGGGACGGAACCUGCACCACUGGGAGGGAGCUGUGCA